rnacentral:rRNA from 1 species
GACGGAGGAUGCAAGUGUUAUCCGGAAUCACUGGGCGUAAAGCGUCUGUAGGUUGUUUAAAAAGUCUGCAGUUAAAGGUUGAAGCUUAACUUCAAAAAAUGCCGUAGAAACUUUUAAACUAGAGGAUGGUAGGGGUAGAGGGAAUUUCCAGUGGAGCGGUGAAAUGUGUAGAUAUUGGAAAGACCACCGAUGGCGAAGGCACUCUACUGGGCCAUGACUGACACUGAGAGACGAAAGCUAGGGGAGCAAAUGGG